rnacentral:lncRNA from 10 species
CCAUCUUUGUAAUGCUGUCCUUCUGAUAGUGAGUUUGCUUCAUGGUUUAGGAGCUUUGAGAUUUGAAUACUGGCCUGCUGGGUUUUGGACGUGCAUUGGGCCUGUGGUCCCAUUUGUGUUAUUUUUCUGGGAAAUUUCUUCCCUUUGGAGUGAGAAAGCUUACCCAAUGCCUGUACCAUCAUCGUACCUUAAAAGAACUCCAUUUUAAGUUCAGGGACUCCUUGGCAGAAGAGACCGUAGCCUUGUAUCAGGUAAGACUUUGAACUUCUUACAUUUGAGUUAAUGCUGGAAUGAGUUAAGGCUUUUGUAAACAUUUGAAAAGGCAUGACUGUAUUUUACUCUGUGAGAAUGACAUGAGAUUCGGGGGAGGGGGUCAAGGUCAGAAUAAUAUGGUUUGGCUGUGUUUCCCUAGAAAAACUCAUGUGGAAUUGCAAUCCCGAAUGUUGGAGGUGGA